rnacentral:rRNA from 1 species
ACAGCACAGCCGCGGUAAUACAGAGGGUGCGAGCGUUAAUCGGAUUUACUGGGCGUAAAGCGUGCGUAGGCGGCUUUUUAAGUCGGAUGUGAAAUCCCUGAGCUUAACUUAGGAAUUGCAUUCGAUACUGGGAAGCUAGAGUAUGGGAGAGGAUGGUAGAAUUCCAGGUGUAGCGGUGAAAUGCGUAGAGAUCUGGAGGAAUACCGGUGGCGAAGGCGGCCCCCUGGACAAAGACUGACGCUCAGGUGCGAAAGCGUGGGGAGCAAACAGGAUUAGAUACCCCAGUAGUCCCUGUCUCUUAUACC